UAUGAUGCCUGCACUAACUACCACUCCUGGAACUGUCAUACUGGCAACUGCGGCUCUGUAACCAGAAGACAAAUUUUUAAAAUCGACUCUAGCACCAACACACCAUCCUAUGAAACCCAGUGGUGCGAGACGGAAAAUGUUGAAACAUGGCGAGUCCCCAGCGACAAACCAUUUCUGCUGAGGGCAUCUAGCUGCUGCUGGAUCACAACACGUAACUCAGUAAGUAACUGGAGGUUGGAGUCCCUUGUGGAUUUGGGAACAAGAUCAGACACCAGAGAACCCAACAGAUCUCCAGCUAUUGCUGUUCUUCCCUUCAUCAGAGUUCCUCAGAACUGCCCAAGAACAUACAAUCUGGCUG